rnacentral:lncRNA from 1 species
GUGUGCGUGUGAGUGUGCAGGUGUGCGCGUGUGUGCAUGUGCGCGUGCAUGUGUGUGCGUGUGUUCGUGUGAGUGGGUGUGUGUAUUGCCGUGAGCAAUUGCUGGAAUAAAAGAAGAAAGAGUUUAACUGGAGAGGGCACAGCAGAUAGAAUUGAGCCAGACAAUUGGUAGGGCCCACAAUCACAUGUGUAUUAACUGUAAAUAUUUAUUGGGCAUUUACCAUGUGCUGGGCACUGUUCUAAGAGCCAUAUGCACAUUAACUAACUCCUGUGUUAUAGAUGCGGAAUAGAGAGAAGUGACUUGUCCAGGGUAACACAGUUAGGUGUGGCACAACUGGGAUUUUACCUAAGCAGCUUGGCUCAAAAAAAUGCUGUCUUAACCAUGCUCCUAACCCCUUAUACCCUUAACCUCUGGACAUGGUCACGCCCAAAUUCACAGACACAACAGCCACACCUUGAAACACACACACACACACAACAGCAGCACAAAUUUUGACAUGGUCUUAUCUGCUGACAAGCCAGCCUCAAAUAAAGUCAACAAAGACACACUCAUUUUAUUUAAGUAAUGUACAUUUUAUUUAAGUCAUGUGAUGGAUUUUCACAGAAUACAUAUGCCCAGGGAACCAGCACCAGAUUACACAACAGAACUGGAUCAGCUCCCAGAAGCUCUCCCCUCGUCCCCUCCCAACCCUAAGGGCGAUCACUAUCUUGACUUUGGUGCACUAUAAAUUAGUUUUGUCUGGUUCUGAACGUAAUACACCUGGAACCAUCUAGUAUGUACUGUUGCAUUUGGCUUCUGUCACUCAAGAUUUCAUCAUGCGACUUGUCUAUGUUGCUGUGUGUAGCCGGGCAUGUCAAUCCCGUUGCUGUGUCUAUGUGCAUGGUAGUGAGUAGGGCAUCAUUCAUUUUCCAUUCUGUUGAUGGGUUAUUUCCAGUUUGGGGCUGUUAUGAAAGGGCUCUGAACAUUCCCAUGCACCCUCUUGAUGCUCACACCUACACAUUUCUGCUGGGUGUUGACAGCCUAGGAGUGGAACUGCUGGAUCACAGAGGUGGCAUAUGUUCGGCUUCAUUAGAAAACUGCCAGUUUUCCAAAAUGUCUCUACCAAUUUACACUCCCCCAGAAAUACAAGAGAGGUCCAGUCGCUCUACUUUCUCGCCUCCACACGGUGCGGUCUUUUUCACUUUAGCCAUUCUGGUGGUGGAGACCCACUCGUAUUCGCAGCGCCUGGAGCGUAAUUGGCACUCAGUUAACAAGACUGUUGAAUGAAUGGAUGACUGAGUAAGUUGGGCGGUGUAGACCAACAGCCUGGCGAGGGCGGACACACGCACGCACUCCACACACAGCGUUUCGCGGACACCCACCGCGGCUCACGCAGCGCAGGACACAGACCCUGUCGCGCACCCCGCGCCCACGUGGUCUGAACACACGGCCUCGGCCCUGCCUCGCGCGUCCGGUCGCAACUCCCGCUCUCCGUCCCCAACUCGCGCGUCCGUCCCCAACUCCCGCUCUCGGCGGCGGGCAGGGGGCGCUGAGCGUCCAGGCGCUCCAAGGGGGCGGGCCCGGGUCGGGGCGGGGCCGGCCGGGCUUCCAGGCCUGGGCUCUGGCCGCCCGCGCCACCGGGCCGCUCCGGGGACAGGCCGGGGCGGGGCGCGGCGGCAGGAAACGGGGCGGGGACUUGCGGAGGCGUUGGGGACGAGAGAGGGCGCGGCCAACUCCAGGGGGGACGGCAGGCCGAGAGCGCGGCGCCCGGGCCUGGCGCGGAGCCUGAGCCCGCCGGACGGGAGGCGGCCCCGCCGCGGGCUCGGCCCCGGCCCCAGCCCCGCCAGCAUGGCCGGCCGGACUGUACGGGCCGAGACCCGGAGCCGGGCCAAGGAUGACAUCAAGAAGGUGAUGGCGACCAUCGAGAAGGUCCGGAGAUGGUGAGCGCUGCUCGGGGGCCAGGGACGGGACACAGCGGGACCACCAGCACCAAAGGCGUCUACGCUGCCCUCGCCAGCUCUGGGCCCCGGGUGUUCGGUGUAUCUCCACCCACUAGCUUUGCCCUGGAUCCACAGGGCUCUGUCCCCGUUCGCCUGGCUACUCCUGGGGGUCUACAAAGCGUGAUCCCCAGCCGUGUCCUCCCAGAGCGGGAGCCCCCUCUUGUGCCCCGCCCCCUAAAGCUUUGACACCCCUCCUGCAGGUGCGCCCCAGGAUCUGCAGGGCUCUGAUCCCGGGCCAGGCCCAUAGCCACGCCCCCCAUGUGUGCCCCAGGGGUCCGCAGAGCCAGGGCCCCAAAUCAUAUCCUCUCUCUAGAGGCACCCACCGCCUAUGCCCUGGGGUUUGCAGGACUCUCUUCCUCCAUGUAACUAUGCCCCAUUAGCAAAACUGUUGCUAUCCUCCUGUGCCUCCUCAACCUCUGCAGGUACCCCCAGAUGUGUCCAGCUCCUAGGGGGGUGGGUCUCCCCUCAGGCCUCUCUGACCCAGCCCCCCACCCUCCCACAGGGAGAAGCGAUGGGUGACUGUGGGCGACACUUCCCUUCGUAUCUUCAAGUGGGUGCCAGUGGUGGAUCCCCAGGAGGAGGUGAGCAACCCCCAUUCCCACAAGGCCCUGCAUCUGUGCAACCUCAGGCAAGUUCCUCCCCACGCUGACCUCUACCUCCAGCUCCCCGAGACCUCAGAUGCAGCAGGACAGACGGGAACCAUCAUUAGCAGCUCCUCCCCUUUUGCCCUCUUUUCUGCUCCACACCCCCUGAGUUUGAGCCCUUUUGCUUCUCAGUGCCUCAGUUUCCUUAGGUGUAUGGUGGGGCUUUCCAAGAGCUCUGACCCUAAUCCUCUAACCCCCAGGAGCGAAGGCGGGCAGGUGGCGGGGCAGAGAGAUCCCGUGGCCGGGAACGUCGGGGCAGGGGCGCCAGUCCCCGAGGGGGUGGCCCUCUCAUCCUGCUGGAUCUUAAUGGUAGGUAGGGAUCCUGAAACGCGGGGGGCUGUGGGGACUGAAGGAGUGUACUAGGGAUCUCAGGCCAACCAUCUCGGCUCUUGCUCCCGCAGAUGAGAACAGCAACCAGAGUUUCCAUUCGGAAGGUUCCCUGCAAAAGGGCACAGAGCCCAGUCCUGGGGGCACCCCCCAGCCCAGCCGCCCUGUGUCACCUGCCGGACCCCCAGAAGGGGUCCCUGAGGAGGCUCAGCCCCCACGGCUGGGCCAAGAGAGAGGUAGGACCAGGUACCUCCCAGGAGCUCUCUCCUCUAAGUCCUGUCUUCUCCAGAGUCUAACCUACCAGCUCAUCCCUAUACCUGCUCCCCGUCUUGUGCACCCUCCUCAAGGCGCCUUCCGACUCCUGCAGAAUCUCCCUGUAGCUACAGUCUCAUUCCUCUGGUCUCUUAGAAUCUAUACAGACAUAUCACUGUCUGAGAUUUUCAUGUAAAUUAAUUUUUUACUAGUUUAUCUUUCUCCUCACUCUCAUGUCAGUUUCCUGAAUGUUGGGCCCAUAUUGAUCCUUUUUUUUUUUUUUUUUUUUUUUUUUUUUUGAGAAAGGGUCUCGCUCUGUCACCCAGGCUGGAGUAGUAUAGUGGUGUGAUCAUAGCUCACUGCAGCCUUGAACUUCCUGGGCUCAAGCGAUCCUCCCGCCUCAGCCUCCCAAGUAGCUGGGACCACAGGCAUA